rnacentral:rRNA from 3 species
GAGUUUGAUCUUGGCUCAGAUUGAACGCUGGCGGCAUGCCUUACACAUGCAAGUCGAACGGCAGCACGGGAGCUUGCUCCUGGUGGCGAGUGGCGAACGGGUGAGUAAUGCAUCGGAACGUAUCCUGGAGUGGGGGAUAACGUAGCGAAAGUUACGCUAAUACCGCAUAUUCUGUGAGCAGGAAAGCGGGGGACCUUCGGGCCUCGCGCUCUUGGAGCGGCCGAUGUCGGAUUAGCUAGUUGGUGAGGUAAAGGCUCACCAAGGCGACGAUCCGUAGCAGGUCUGAGAGGAUGAUCUGCCACACUGGAACUGAGACACGGUCCAGACUCCUACGGGAGGCAGCAGUGGGAAUUUUGGACAAUGGGGGCAACCCUGAUCCAGCCAUGCCGCGUGAGUGAAG